rnacentral:rRNA from 1 species
CAACUGGGAUUGCCUUAGUAACGGCGAGUGAAGCGGCAAUAGCUCAAAUUUGAAAGCUGGCCCCUUUGGGGUCCGCGUUGUAAUUUGUAGAGGAUGAUUCGGCGAGGGCUCCCGUCUAAGUCCCCUGGAACGGGGCGUCAUAGAGGGUGAGAAUCCCGUAUGUGAUGGGUUGCCUUAGCCAUGUGAAUCUCCUUCGACGAGUCGAGUUGUUUGGGAAUGCAGCUCUAAAUGGGAGGUAAAUUUCUUCUAAAGCUAAAUACCGGCCAGAGACCGAUAGCGCACAAGUAGAGUGAUCGAAAGAUGAAAAGCACUUUGGAAAGAGAGUUAAAAAGUACGUGAAAUUGUUGAAAGGGAAGCGCUUGCAGCCAGACUUGUCCGCAGUUGCUCAGCCGGUCUCCUGACCGGCGUACUCUUCUGCGGCCAGGCCAGCAUCAGUUCGGGCGGUCGGAUAAAGACCUCGGGAAUGUAGCUCCUCUCGGGGAGUGUUAUAGCCCGGGGUGGAAUGCGGCCAGCCUGGACUGAGGAUCUCGCUUCGGCUAGGAUGCUGGCGUAAUGGCUGUAAGCGGCCCGUCUUGAAACACGGACCAAGGAGUCUAACAUCUAUGCGAGUGUUUGGGUGUCAAACCCAUACGCGUAAUGAAAGUGAACGGAGGUGGGAACCCUCACGGGUGCACCAUCGACCGAUCCUGAUGUCUUCGGAUGGAUUUGAGUAAGAGCAUAGCUGUUGGGACCCGAAAGAUGGUGAACUAUGCCUGAAUAGGGUGAAGCCAGAGGAAACUCUGGUGGAGGCUCGCAGCGGUUCUGACGUGCAAAUCGAUCGUCAAA